GAUGAACGCUGGCGGCGUGCCUAAUACAUGCGAGUCGAGCGAACGGACGAGAAGCUUGCUUCUCUGAUGUUAGCGGCGGACGGGUGAGUAACACGUGGAUAACCUACCUAUAAGACUGGGAUAACUUCGGGAAACCGGAGCUAAUACCGGAUAAUAUUUUGAACCGCAUGGUUCGAAAGUGAAAGACGGUCUUGCUGUCACUUAUAGAUGGAUCCGCGCUGCAUUAGCUAGUUGGUAAGGUAACGGCUUACCAAGGCAACGAUGCAUAGCCGACCUGAGAGGGUGAUCGGCCACACUGGAACUGAGACACGGUCCAGACUCCUACGGGAGGCAGCAGUAGGGAAUCUUCCGCAAUGGGCGAAAGCCUGACGGAGCAACGCCGCGUGAGUGAUGAAGGUCUUCGGAUCGUAAAACUCUGUUAUUAGGGAAGAACAUAUGUGUAAGUAACUGUGCACAUCUUGACGGUACCUAAUCAGAAAGCCACGGCUAACUACGUG
rnacentral:rRNA from 1 species